rnacentral:rRNA from 1 species
AUUGAACGCUGGCGGCAGGCCUAACACAUGCAAGUCGAGCGGAGCGGCGGACGGGUGAGUAAUGCCUAGGAAUCGGCCUGGAAGUGGGGGAUAACGUCCGGAAACGGGAGCUAAUACCGCAUACCAAUAGCUGAGCCUAGGUCGGAUUAGCAAGUUGGUGGUGUAAAGGCCUACCAAGGCGACGAUCCGUAGCUGGUCUGAGCGGAUGAUCAGUCACACUGGAACUGAGACACGGUCCAGACUCCUACGGGAGGCAGCAGUGGGGAAUAUUGGACAAUGGGCGAAAGCCUGAUCCAGCCAUGCCGCGUGUGUGAAGAAGGUCUUCGGAUUGUAAAGCACUUUAAGUUGGGAGGCGUUACCAACAGAAUAAGCACCGGCUAACUUCGUGCCAGCAGCCGCGGUAAUUC